rnacentral:rRNA from 1 species
GAUGAACGCUGGCGGCGUGCCUAAUACAUGCAAGUCGAGCGAACAGACGAGGAGCUUGCUCCUCUGACGUUAGCGGCGGACGGGUGAGUAACACGUGGAUAACCUACCUAUAAGACUGGGAUAACUUCGGGAAACCGGAGCUAAUACCGGAUAAUAUAUUGAACCGCAUGGUUCAAUAGUGAAAGACGGUUUUGCUGUCACUUAUAGAUGGAUCCGCGCCGCAUUAGCUAGUUGGUAAGGUAACGGCUUACCAAGGCGACGAUGCGUAGCCGACCUGAGAGGGUGAUCGGCCACACUGGAACUGAGACACGGUCCAGACUCCUACGGGAGGCAGCAGUAGGGAAUCUUCCGCAAUGGGCGAAAGCUUGACGGAGCAACGCCGCGUGAGUGAUGAAGGUCUUCGGAUCGUAAAACUCUGUUAUUAGGGAAGAACAAAUGUGUAAGUAACUAUGCACGUCUUGACGGUACCUAAUCAGAAAGCCACGGCUAACUACGUG